rnacentral:tRNA from 1 species
UCGGGCGUAGAGCCGAUCACAACCUUGCCAAGGUUGGGGUCGUGAGUUCGAAUCUCAUCGCCCGCU